rnacentral:lncRNA from 1 species
GUGGCAUACUGCGAAGAUUACACCCUUCUUUUAUCUACUACUGCUGGUUUCGGCUGAGGUCAAAAGACGAGCAACUAGGUCUUGCACAGUGGUGUUGGGGUGACCUGCAAAAUAGAAUUCGGACUGAAGAUUUUCACUUCAAUGAGGAUCCUCCGAUGCUCAAGUCAGAAAUCAAAAAACAAUGGAAGCAGCAACUGAUUCUCUAAGUGGGGUUACUUAUCUGGAUCUUCAGGGCUUUAAUUAUUUAUAAAGGAUAUGACUAAACAAUCAUGAGAGCAUGUAGUUUUGAGAUUAUCGGGCUGUUGGAUGUGCUGUUAGUGGGUGAGAUAUUCUAGCUCUAAUUUACUCCCACGAGAUGUGAGAAGUUAGUUACGUCCGAAUUUAUCUACUCAGGAUGAACAGCUACUGCACGUACUAAGAAAUUGAUUGUCCAAGAUAAUAGAAAAAGCUCACAUGCCAGAUGGGCCGCAUAUCAGACUGGAUAUAAACAGUUCAGCUCCACAUACUUUAGCUUGAUAGUUGGGUUGGCAAUCACAAAAAUAGCUCGUUGGCCUGAGAUAUCCAUAAUAACACACUGAUCCAAAAUAUCUAAGGUAUAUCUAAGGUACCACUGUAACACUUCCCAAUUUUAGAAUUCACUUAAGUUGCUUUAUAUCUAAAAACAUUGACAGCCAGGUGCUUUUGCACGUGCAUUAUAGUUAAUAAACAAUUAGUGUGCUAAGUUUGAGCCCUGGACUAAGUUGAUAAAAUGUUGCAUGUCCCUAUGAAAGGAAGGCCACUAAGAAGUUCUAUUACAAGCAGCUCCCUAUACCUUUAUUUUAGUAGUAGUUGAACGUUAGGAGGAAACAAGUACCCUCAACUUCCUCUAUGGCCAUAAGGAGGUAAACUAAUCGGCAUUGCUUGCAUGCAUCUUCAAAUUGGAUCUAGUUAAUGACAAUAUGCCCAAACAAGAACCUUAUCUCUUUUGAAUCAAAGAAAUGAUGAACGAUCCAUUCACCUCUGUAUUUUCAAAUGGAGUUUCUUAACACUUUCAUAAAAGAUAAUGUUCUUGUCUGUUAUGAUGGUGGAUGAAUUCCUAGUUGCAAUGCAAGUGGUGUGAACCUUAAUCACUUACUGAUGAGUUCAAGGAGUGUAAAUACUCAAUGAAUCAUUUAGACAUUCCUAACAUCGUUUGGAGUCAAGAUGGCUUCAACAACAACCUCCUCAUGUUCCUACCAUAUGGCUUCAUCAUCCAUUGCAUGUUCAUCCCUCUGAUACUCCAUGUCUUUGACAUCAACAUGACUAGCCAAAUGCGUUCACGGAUUGUAUACUCUAGGUGGACACUUUCUGAUUGUUUUCCAACCAUCCCACAUUUAAGUCUCUUAAAGGCAUUAUUUUAUGACAUAAGGCCUAAAAUUCCAUGUCCUUUACUUACAUCACUAGCAAAAGCUCCCAUGAUGGUUAUAAUUAGCGGUGAGAUAUGGCGGCCUCUAUCAAAAGCAAGAUCAUGACCAACCUGCUGGUUGACACUUAAUCAGCAUUAUCUGUUUCAUGAAAUUGUUAGGUAAACUUCUCAGCCUUCACUGCUUAUUAAUAGCAUCAUCAACAUGGACAAACAUAUGUAAAGCUACGUGACCUGGAUCCAAUCACUCAAUCCCAUGAUGUAAUAUGCACCAGCUUACUCUUCAUUCUGUUCAAGUACAUUCUGGAGAUCAGCAAGCAAAUUUAACCGGGCAUUUCCUCAAGAUUUAUUCACCUGCAUCAGACCAAAGAACUGCUGGAAUAUGAUUACUUAGUCAUCAGUAGAAAUAUUUCUCCUCAGUUUCUUCGUUUUAGGCCAGUUUUCCACUUUGAUUUUGCCUACCUAACCAAACCUUAUAGAAUAUAUUGAACCACAUCGGAGCAGUUUCAUUCAUCUUCACUGUAACUACUAUACUUUCUAAUCAUCUACAAGUUCGUGCACUGAAAACUCAUCUAGAUCCAAACAAACCUGAUAAUCAUCAAUAUUGACUUUAAUCCUGCAGUCCCAAGACUACUCAGAAGCUCUCGCUAAACUAUUCUUUAUCCCUUAACGGUGCUCCUCAUAAGACUCAUGAUCACAAUCAAAUCCAUCAAUAGCAUCAAGGUUUGACCAUAAAUCUAAGACAAUAGCAUCUUGCUGGUCUCCUGCAAGAUGGAUACAGUUAUCGAGCAGAAUGCAAUGAUCAGGGCCUCAUAUCAGCUGUCAGAUUAAGCCACUAUGCAAACAUUCAGUUAGCUGCCUCAACAUAGCCUCCGGUUUAUGUAAACAAUCAUAAGUAUGUUGCUAUGACACCCCUCUAAGCUGUGGAAUAAAAAAGUACCUGGCUGGAUGCCUCGCUCAGCCAUUAAAAUGAUGGAAGCAUAAACUAAUGCCUAAGAUGCUUGAGAUCAUAGAAUUAUACAAUCACUAGAAGCUUCUAAGAUGCAAAAUGUGCAAACUAUACAAAAAUAAUGAAUGAAAUAGGCUAUGACCAAAAUAUGCAGUAACAGCAUGUUAAAAAUACACAAAUUCAACAAAAAUAAAUCAAUAUAACAAUUUACAAUCAAAAUCUCCCAGGCAACAUGAUAAAACAAUCUACAUCAAUAUUGCACUAAGUCCAAAGAUUAACAAGUAAACUCUAGUACUUGAAUUAAAAACUCAAGCCCUUUCUUUUGUCCAAAUUAAACUCUCAGACAACAUGCAAAAUUCUACAAUUUGCACCUAAAUCUAAAAUUAAAUAAAAAAAAUUCUCAAAACCCCUGAACAAUCUGCUUUGAAAACAAAUCUGAUGCUACUUAAGGUGGCCUGUGGAACUUGUGAGGCCUGAUGUGAAUCCCAUCAUGCAAUUUUCAGCAGAAGGUAACUGGACGCAGCAGAUUUCUAAUAUUCGGGACAAUUAUACAUGCACAAUUUAAAUGUUGGCAUCCAGAAACCAACAUGAUCUAACCAAAUAGCAUGAUCACAGCCAGCAAAAGCAGAAUGACUCUAAACAAUAACAGCUAUAUAACAGCCCGAGCAAAAACAAAUCUCAAACAAUUGGUAGCAAGUAGAUGAUCCUAUCAAGAAAAUUUGAAGUCCACACAAAAACCCUAGUUGUAAAUGUUUGGAUUGUAAAAGAAGGAAAUAUCGCAUAGUGGACAAAGAAAGCUAAAAGGAAAGCAGAUGCAAUAACUAAAGAAAGAUCUAACCAAGCCCAUGCUUACAACAAACUCUCAUGCUCACAAGCUCUGUAAAGUAGCCAAGAAGAUAUGGAUAUCACAUGGGAACCAUGCUAUGGAUAAGAACAAAGGAAGAGGUGGGAGGAUGAAUAAGGAACGAGAGAAAAUAUGGAAUGAACAAGGGAAAGAAGAAGAAAAUAGAAUAGAGAUUGAAAUGGUUGAGGUAUAAGAAAAAAAGGAGAAUAGAGAAAGGGAUGGUUGGGUUAUAAGAAUAAAGUGAGAGGAUGUUAUGACUGCAAAACUUGAUGGUUGACCAAGGUGAAGGGUGGUCAUCACAAAUAAUGACUAGGUAGGCUGAUCCUGAUACCAGCCUGAUCUUGAUACUUGCUGCUUUAGGGUUUAUUUUUACUUGAUUAUAAAAUCCUAUGAUCAAUAUUUUUAUUAGGUGCUCUGCAGAAGACUAUGGUGGGCUUGACUUAACCGUAACAUAUGGAUGUAAACUUCAUCCAUAAGAUAAUCUCACCUCCCAAAAAACAAAAAUGAAGGAAACAUGACAAAAAGAUGCUCAUGAAUCAAUGUAGUACUGGCGAUGUCAGCACCACCUAAUGGUGUAUGUGCCUUGGAUAAAAUUGAACUUUAAAUUGGAAAUGUGGAAUCAAUAAUUAGAAGUUCAGAAUAUAAGAGCCCACAUAUAUAAAAAACUAAAACAGAGUAUUUAAAAUGCAGUUUUAGUGUAGGUCUCAACCAAUUUUCAAUGGCAAGAGCCCAUCUUAUUCUCAAAAAAAAAAAAAGAAUAAUAUAUUUCUAUUAUGAUACUGGGUGCAAUACAAAAGAAACCUAAAAGAAACAGUGUAGAUCUAUCUGAAGAAACAUGUAUUAAGUGGAUAUGCACUUUGGGUUGUAUGAUCAUCAGACUUUGAUGAGACUUAACAUAGGAUCUUUCUUUUUUUUGGGUGGGGCGGCCAGAGUGGGGGAUUAAAUUUGAUACAACUGCAUCAAAGGAAGUUUGAGAGGUCAACAAUGAAUGAUAAAGUGACAAAAAAAUGAAUUUAAAUGAUAUCAACAUGCGCAACAAAAUAAAAAUGGAGUCUUCAGUCAGUAGAAAGGUCUCAGAUAUGUCUUGAUGGUUGAGAGAGCAAAAGAAGGGAAGAUAUCAGAGAAGUUUUAUCAGAUAGUAAAAUAAGGAUUUUAGAAGACCUGAAUAAUGCACUGAGGAAAGUCCAAGGAAAAUAUGAUUGAAUAUGAUCGUUAGUUAUAAUUCACAAAAUCAAUAUAAUCAUUACUUGGAUACUUUACUUUUGACCUUAAUGAAAUGGAAUGCUAUACAUGAAAAACUCCAAAACUCCAAGAACCAACAAUAUUUGGUGCCGCAAUUGACACCUCAUCAAAUGAGAAUCCAAAGGAGGCAAACCUGAUUUUUCUUUGAAAACAGUAUAAAAGGUACAUGCUGAAUUCAAGACCUACCUACCUAACAUGAUCCUCACCCUUAAUUUCUGAGUUCAGCACAUUUCCCAUACCUUGCCACCACAUGAAGAUGCAAGCGAAACAAGUAAGGUCCAAGCUUUAGGUUGAACCUGGCAAUGCUAAAAUACAGAAAGUUUUCAAACCCUCAAUUUAGGUGCCUCCAUGUCAUCUCCUAUACUAACAAAUCAAUUAUGCGCUACUAAGCUCUAUAAAUAUUCCAUCUCUAACAAACCCUCAAAAAGCAACCUCCUCUCGCAAAUUUCUAUAGGCUCUGAAAAAUCCAAAACAGUCCUGAGCAAAACUACUCUUCUUUCUCCCUAACAUGCCCAAGUUAUAAUGCUAAAGGCCAGAACCUGUUACUGAUGUUGGAACCUAAAAAGCUACAAAUCUUUCCUGGAUCUAUAUCAGACCAUUUGCUAGCUGGUUCAAAUUCCAUGAGGGCCUGUUUGGCAUCGUUGUUAGUGUCGUUGUUUUGUUUUUUUUUCCUCCACAAAUCUGUGAAAUAUCAAAUGGAGGUUGAUGUUGAAGAUAGCAUUUGCACAAAACUUCUGCCAUUCUUUGUUUUCAUCUUUGCACUUUUCUGAAAGCAAUGUAUCUUUGCUUCCAAAAGAUCUAAAGAUUUUACAAACAAUUUCAGACAACAAAUGGGUUUCAUCCAAAAUGUCGUUCAGUCUACUUCAUUUUACUCCUUAGGUUCUUGAAAACAAAAUUAGGGGAAAAAAAAACCAAAGGGGCCCUGAAUACAACAGAGGGGGGAACAAAAGAAAGCAUGAAUACAACUGUUGGGGUUUUCGAGAUCUCUGUCAUCAAUUAUAUUGUAAGAUAAGAAGGUAUGAAGAGGGGGAGAGGGAUUACCUGGAAAAGUUGGUGGAGAUCGGACGGUGGGAGAGGAACGGGAGGAACCGCCGUCGGAGAGGAGGGAGGGAGGCUUUCGUGGACGCCCCCAUCACCACCGCCAUCGUCGUCGGCGACGUCGCUCAGCAGAUUGCCGAUGCAGAGCAGUGGGCCGCCCACUCCACGCAUCUUUCUUGGUUGCUUUCGGGGUUUGUAUUCUCUUUUCCCGGUGAUGAACGGGCUGCUUUUCCUUUGUCCGGGGAUCUAUAUUGC